CCUGAGAUCAUGACCUGAGCCAAACGCAGAUGCCUAACCACUGGCACCCCACCAAAUAAUUUUUAAUUAUAUACACUUGAACACCUAGAGUGGAAAAUGAUGGCCAGUGGGACAGAAAACAAAAGCAUGGGAAGAAAGACAUGUGGCUGAGUAGUUGUUGGCUUUGCACUUCAUACAGUCAUCGGGUUGCUCCAAGGUUCUCGUGUUCAGUAGCAACUUCGAAGGAUCAUCUGCUUUCUGGCAGCUCUUGGGGAACCUCGAUUUCAAAUGUCUGGGACACUUGAAGAGGUAAAAAGAAAAAACAUUCUCUUUCUUUCCAUGGUUUUCUGAAGUCAUGAUCAUGAGUCAGAAUGUCAGAGUGUAUUGGCAGCUCCUUGCUGUGUUUAACAAGAUACCAUAAGAGGCAAGCUCAAGCAAGAAUGUCCUGGUUUGCAAGCUGACACGAAAAGGAACUGAGAGAGCCCAGAACUAGGGCCUUGUGCCCCAACAGCAGGAAAAAAGACUGAAAAGGUUAUCCACAAAGAUAUUUCAGUUAAACAGAGGACUCCAGCACGAGUGCAAAGAAAAGUCUCGAGGCUUUCCUUCCUCCUAAGCCUUUGUUUCAUAUGGCUUCACUGUAACUGCCAUUAAGUUGGGAGAGAGAGGCGUGGAGUAAAGAAAUAAAUGAAAGUUGAUACUUCUAUCCUGGAAAAAAAAAAAAUCUUUGAGGCAUGAUUUCUGGUACAAGAAGCUGCUUAGAAGCAAAUCGACCCGAAGAUUCUGUACUGCUUCAACCCCACAAGCCUGGCCUGAGUAAAUAAGGAAAGCCAUAAAAUAAUACCUGGGGCCAUACAGUCCCCAAGGAGGGCAUGCCCCCACCUCACGUAUAGCCAGGGAAAGCAAUGGCAGAGGGCUGAACCAGGGCAUAAGGAGAACAUGGACAAGAGAAUUUUUCCUAAAGAGCAAAAUUGGAUCUCUUCUAGGUGCUUCCUUCACUACCGGAAAGGGAGUCUUCACGGUGUCCAUCUAGCAGGAUUCCAUGAUUGCUUUAGACAUGACUGUACAUGUUUCCCAAUCUCCCUCUUCCAAAUAGUUUGUGUUGCAGUUUUCCUGUUCCCUCUGUCACUGUGUAGUGGGGUAAUGGUGACGUGGCAACAACUUGGCUUUUAAUUAUAGGUUGCUGGAUCGUGAAGAAAUUCGUUCAGGCCAAUUGAAGAAGACUGCGAUCCAAAUUUUCAUAUGGAUGCCAUAACUGGAUAGGACUUCUUGUGGUCUCCCUUUGGGGAAGAGUGAUUGUAUUUGGUGACCAGAAAGACCAACUGUAACAGAGACCUCUUGCUGUCUGCCAAAAGCCAUUAUUCUCUGCAGGCACACACCCCUUCCAAUUUGGGAGUGGCCAUAUGACAAAGUUUUCUCCAAUGUAAUGUGACUGGAAGCAAUGUGUACCACUUGGUGACUAUGGGGUGGGACAGCACAAGAAUGAAGAGCCUAGGUUCCUGAACACCAGCAAUGAAAGACGACCAUGUCCCUGACCUGAAUAUCUGCCCAGGACUGUCAGGUCAGCUGUGAGUUUUUCACAACGUGGCAGAAGAGUUCCCAGCAGCAAGAGAGAGCAAGCCACCAUCUGUAAGCACUUUUUAAAGAAUCUCUUUGUAUCAGAUUUGCUAAUGUUCCAUAGAACAAAGCAAGUCACAUGGCCAAGCCUAGAUUCAAAGGGAGGAGAGACUACAUCUCUUGAGGGGAGAAGCUGGAAAAUACCAAGGCUAUUCUGUUCAAUUCUAUCAUGGAAGCCAAAAUAGAGAGAUUGAAUGAUAUUCCUUUUAAACUGAACGGGUGAUUUAUCUCAGGGUUUAAACAUAUUUCCACUGGGGCGGGAGGAGACUUUUCUGUUUUAACGACUGAGGUCAUCUAGUAAGGCUGCC